CGUUAUGGUUCUAUUUUGUUGGUUUCUAGGACCAUCGUAAUGAUUAAUAGGGACGGACGGGGGUAUCAGUAUUCAGUUGUCAGAGGUGAAAUUCUUGGAUUUACUGAAGACUAACUACUGCGAAAGCAUUUACCAAGCACGUUUUCAUUAAUCAAGAACGAAAGUUAGGGGAUCGAAGAUGAUCAGAUACCGUCGUAGUCUUAACCAUAAACUAUGCCGACUAGGGAUCGGGUGUUGUUCUUUUAUUGACGCACUCGGCACCUUACGAGAAAUCAAAGUCUUUGGGUUCUGGGGGGGAGUAUGGUCGCAAGGCUGAAACUUAAAGGAAUUGACGGAAGGGCACCACCAGGAGUGGAGCCUGCGGCUUAAUUUGACUCAACACGGGGAAACUCACCAGGUCCAGACACAAUAAGGAUUGACAGAUUGAGAGCUCUUUCUUGAUUUUGUGGGUGGUGGUGCAUGGCCGUUCUUAGUUGGUGGAGUGAUUUGUCUGCUUAAUUGCGAUAACGAACGAGACCUUAACCUACUAAAUAGUGCUGCUAGCUUUUGCUGGUAUAGUCACUUCUUAGAGGGACUAUCGAUUUCAAGUCGAUGGAAGUUUGAGGCAAUAACAGGUCUGUGAUGCCCUUAGACGUUCUGGGCCGCACGCGCGCUACACUGACGGAGCCAGCGAGUUUAUACCUUGGCCGA
rnacentral:rRNA from 1 species